AUUGAACGCUGGCGGCAGGCCUAACACAUGCAAGUCGAGCGGAUGAAGGGAGCUUGCUCCUGGAUUCAGCGGCGGACGGGUGAGUAAUGCCUAGGAAUCUGCCUGGUAGUGGGGGAUAACGUCCGGAAACGGGCGCUAAUACCGCAUACGUCCUGAGGGAGAAAGUGGGGGAUCUUCGGACCUCACGCUAUCAGAUGAGCCUAGGUCGGAUUAGCUAGUUGGUGGGGUAAAGGCCUAACAAGGCGACGAUCCGUAACUGGUCUGAGAGGAUGAUCAGUCACACUGGAACUGAGACACGGUCCAGACUCCUACGGGAGGCAGCAGUGGGGAAUAUUGGGCAAUGGGCGAAAGCCUGAUCCAGCCAUGCCGCGUGUGUGAAGAAGGUCUUCGGAUUGUAAAGCACUUUAAGUUGGGAGGAAGGGCAGUAAGUUAAUACCUUGCUGUUUUGACGUUACCAACAGAAUAAGCACCGGCUAACUUCGUG
rnacentral:rRNA from 1 species